UACAGAGGGUGCGAGCGUUGUCCGGAAUCACUGGGCGUAAAGGGCGCGUAGGCGGCCUGGUAAGUAGGGGGUGAAAUCCCUCGGCUUAACCGGGGAACUGCGUCUGAUACUGGAUGGCUUGAGAUUGGGAGAGGGAUGCGGAAUUCCAGGUGUAGCGGUGAAAUGCGUAGAUAUCUGGAGGAACACCGGUGGCGAAGGCGGCAUCCUGGACCAACACUGACACUGAGGAGCGAAAGCCAGGGGAGCAAACGGG
rnacentral:rRNA from 1 species